rnacentral:rRNA from 1 species
GACGAACGCUGGCGGCGUGCUUAACACAUGCAAGUCGAACGGAAAGGCCCUGCUUUUGUGGGGUGCUCGAGUGGCGAACGGGUGAGUAACACGUGAGUAACCUGCCCUUGACUUUGGGAUAACUUCAGGAAACUGGGGCUAAUACCGGAUAGGAGCUCCUGCUGCAUGGUGGGGGUUGGAAAGUUUCGGCGGUUGGGGAUGGACUCGCGGCUUAUCAGCUUGUUGGUGGGGUAGUGGCUUACCAAGGCUUUGACGGGUAGCCGGCCUGAGAGGGUGACCGGCCACAAUGGGACUGAGAUACGGACCAGACUGCUACGGGAGGCAGCAGGGGGGAAUAUGGCACAAUGGGCGGAAGCCUGAGGCAGCAACGCCGGGUGCGGGAUGACGGCCUUCGGGUUGUAAACCGCUUUCGCCUGUGACGAAGCGGGAGUGACGGUAAUGGGUAAAGAAGCACCGGCUAACUACGUG